rnacentral:rRNA from 1 species
GACGAACGCUGGCGGCGUGCUUAACACAUGCAAGUCGAACGGAAAGGCCCUGCUUUUGUGGGGUGCUCGAGUGGCGAACGGGUGAGUAACACGUGAGUAACCUGCCCUUGACUUUGGGAUAACUUCAGGAAACUGGGGCUAAUACCGGAUAGGAGCUCCUGCUGCAUGGUGGGGGUUGGAAAGUUUCGGCGGUUGGGGAUGGACUCGCGGCUUAUCAGCUUGUUGGUGGGGUAGUGGCUUACCAAGGCUUUGACGGGUAGCCGGCCUGAGAGGGUGACCGGCCACCUUGGGACUGAGAUACGGCCCAGACUCCUACGGGAGGCAGCAGUGGGGAAUAUUGCACAAUGGGCGGAAGCCUGAUGCAGCAACGCCGCGUGCGGGAUGACGGCCUUCGGGUUGUGAACCGCUUUCGCCUGUGACGAAGCGUGAGUGACGGUAAUGGGUAAAGAAGCACCGGCUAACUACGUG